UACGGAGGGUGCAAACGUUGCUCGGACUCACUGGGCGUAAAGCGCACGUAGGCGGCUCGAAAAGUCGGAUGUGAAAGCCCUGGGCUCAACCUAGGAAGUGCAUUCGAAACUGCCGAGCUUGAGUACGGGAGAGGGUUGCGGAAUUCCCGGUGUAGAGGUGAAAUUCGUAGAUAUCGGGAGGAACACCAGUGGCGAAGGCGGCAGCCUGGACCGAUACUGACGCUGAGGUGCGAAAGCGUGGGGAGCAAACAGG
rnacentral:rRNA from 1 species